rnacentral:lncRNA from 1 species
CCAAUUAAAAAUCAAGAUUUGGGUUGAAUCGAACCGGAAUCGGACCGAACCAACCCAAACCUUCCAGAAACCCUCUCAUCCUUUAUCUCUAGCCAGCCUACUCAUCCCCAGACCGUUUUUGCGCCACCUCCAGCCCACCACCGCACCACCACCUCCUCUUCUCUUCUUCUUCUUCUUUCUCUUCUUUCUUUUCUCUUCCUUUCUUCUUUCAUUUUUGCUUUCCUAGGGCCUGCGUUCUUGGCGAGACAGAGGCAACGCAGAGCCGCCGCUUCUUAUUGCAGCAGAGCCGCUCGCCACCGCUUGCUCCUCCACCUCGUCGCGCCAUCGCCAGCCUGCUGCAGCUCCAGUGAGUCUUAAACCACCAGAUCGCGCCGCCAUCGCCUUCCAUUGCCAUUGUCAGUUGGAUCCGGCACUUCCGACGCAUGUAACUCGGAUCCGGCACAAACAAGUUUCCGAUCUAGCACAAUUUUGACAGAAAUUAUAUUUUGGGGUAACAAAAAAUUAAUUUUAAUAAUUUUAAUUACUUGAAUUAAUUUUAUUAUUGUAGUUAAUUAAUUUUAUUAUCGUAGUUGAUUAAUAUUAUUAUAGGAGUUAAGUAAUAUUAAUUAAUGAAAUUAAUUUUAUUAUUUGUAGUUAAUUAAUUUAGUAAUUUUGGGUAUAAAUUAACUUAGUAAUUUUAGUUGAUUAAAUUAAUGUUAGUAAUCUUGAUUAGUUAAUUUAUUUUAGCAAUUUUGAUUAAUUAAUUUAAUUUAAUUUUAGUAUUGAUCUAUUGCUUAGUUAAAUUAAAAGUAAGUAGUGUUGAUUUAUUAAUUUAAUAAAAAUAUUUAGUUAAAAUUUAAUACGAUAUUAAACUAAAUUAAUUGAAGAGUCAGAUAAGUCGAGUAUAUGGAAUUAAAGAAAAUUUAUAAAUGUAUGUUGGUACGGGAAAAUGUGGAGGAUAGGAUUUAUUGAUUGGAUUGAUUGCCUGAUGGAUGGGCUAUGUGGUUUGGAAUUAAUUGAUAUAAUGUUGACAUUUUAACAGGUGGAUAAUCCAAUUUUGAGGGGGGAUGCUGCCGAAAAGUCAG